AGAGUUUGAUCCUGGCUCAGGACGAACGCUGGCGGCGUGCUUAACACAUGCAAGUCGAACGAUGAAGCGGUGCUUGCACCGUGGAUUAGUGGCGAACGGGUGAGUAACACGUGAGUAACCUGCCUUCCACUCUGGGAUAAGCGCUGGAAACGGCGUCUAAUACUGGAUAUGACAUUGCCUCGCAUGGGGUGGUGUGGAAAGAUUUUUUGGUGGUAGAUGGACUCGCGGCCUAUCAGCUUGUUGGUGGGGUAAUGGCCUACCAAGGCGACGACGGGUAGCCGGCCUGAGAGGGUGACCGGCCACACUGGGACUGAGACACGGCCCAGACUCCUACGGGAGGCAGCAGUGGGGAAUAUUGCACAAUGGGCGAAAGCCUGAUGCAGCGACGCCGCGUGAGGGAUGACGGCCUUCGGGUUGUAAACCUCUUUCAGCUCUGACGAAGCUUUUUGUGACGGUAGGAGCAGAAGAAGCACCGGCUAACUACGUGCCAGCAGCCGCGGUAAUACGUAGGGUGCGAGCGUUGUCCGGAAUUAUUGGGCGUAAAGAGCUUGUAGGCGGCUUGUCGCGUCUGCUGUGAAAGCCCGGGGCUUAACUCCGGGUCUGCAGUGGGUACGGGCAGGCUAGAGUGUGGUAGGGGAGACUGGAAUUCCUGGUGUAGCGGUGGAAUGCGCAGAUAUAAAGGAGGAACACCGAUGGCGAAGGCAGGUCUCUGGGCCAUUACUGACGCUGAGAAGCGAAAGCGUGGGGAGCGAACAGGAUUAGAUACCCUGGUAGUCC
rnacentral:rRNA from 1 species